ensembl:misc_RNA
CUGGAUAGCAAACAUCUGAAAACAAAAAUCCUUUGUUUAUCCACAGGCAGUUUCAGUACUAUCAGCAGUGCAUGCUUCUCUGAGCCUGCUUCGUUCAACCCUGGCCAAGGAUGAGCGAGCAGCAUUCUGAAUAAGAAGGCACCUCAAUUUUCACGCUUAUUCAAUCCUAGGCCUCU